GUCCACGCUGUAAACGAUGGAUACUAGUUGUCGGGUUGUAUGACUCGGUGACGCAGCUAACGCAAUAAGUAUCCCGCCUGGGGAGUACGGUCGCAAGGCUGAAACUCAAAGAAAUUGACGGGGGCCCGCACAAGCGGUGGAGUAUGUGGUUUAAUUCGAUGCAACGCGAAGAACCUUACCCAGGCUUGACAUCUAGGGAGCCUCUAUGAAAGUAGAGGGUGCUCUUCGGAGAACCCUAAGACAGGUGCUGCAUGGCUGUCGU
rnacentral:rRNA from 1 species